rnacentral:rRNA from 1 species
GACGAACGCUGGCGGCGUGCCUAAUACAUGCAAGUCGAACGCAGUGGGGACGGGUGAGUAGCACGUGGUUAACCUCCCAUCAGAGGGGAUAACACUUGGAAACAGGUGCUAAACCGAUACUGAUGGAUGGACUCGAGGUGCAUUAGCUAGUUGGGAAGGUAAAGGCUCACCAAGGCCACGAUGCAUAACCGACAUGAGAGGGUGACCGGCCACACUGGGACUGAUACACGGCCCAGACUCCUACGGGAGGCAGCAGUAGGGAAUCUUCGGCAAUGGACGAAAGUCUGACCGAGCAACGCCGCGUGAGUGAAGAAGGUUUUCGGAUCGUAAAACUCUGUUAUUAGGGAAGCGGUAUCUAAUCAGAAAGCCACGGCUAACUACGUGCCAGCAGCCGCGGUAAUUC